rnacentral:rRNA from 1 species
UACGUAGGUGGCAAGCGUUGUCCGGAUUUACUGGGCGUAAAGAGCUCGUAGGUGGUUUGUCGCGUUGUUCGUGAAAACUCACAACUCAAUUGUGGGCGUGCGGGCGAUACGGGCAGACUGGAGUACUGCAGGGGAGACUGGAAUUCCUGGUGUAGCGGUGGAAUGCGCAGAUAUCAGGAGGAACACCGGUGGCGAAGGCGGGUCUCUGGGCAGUAACUGACGCUGAGGAGCGAAAACGUGGGGAGCGAACAGG